rnacentral:rRNA from 1 species
GAUGAACGCUGGCGGCGUGCUUAACACAUGCAAGUCGAACGGAAAGGCCUCAGCUUGCUGGGGUACUCGAGUGGCGAACGGGUGAGUAACACGUGGGUGGUCUGCCCUGCACUUUGGGAUAAGCCCGGGAAACUGGGUCUAAUACCGAAUAUGACCACUUCUUGGAUGUUGUGGUGGAAAGCUUUUGCGGUGUGGGAUGAGCCUGCGGCCUAUCAGCUUGUUGGUGGGGUAAUGGCCUACCAAGGCGGCGACGGGUAUCCGGCCUGAGAGGGUGUACGGACACAUUGGGACUGAGAUACGGACCAGACUCCUACGGGAGGCAGCAGUGGGGAAUAUUGCACAAUGGGCGCAAGCCUGAUGCAGCGACGCCGCGUGGGGGAUGAAGGCCUUCGGGUUGUAAACUCCUUUCGCUAUCGACGAAGCCACUUGUGGUGACGGUAGGUAGAUAAGAAGCACCGGCUAACUACGUGCCAGCCGCCGCCGUAA